GGGUCCGGACACACUGAGGAUUGACAGAUAUACGCUCAUUGCUGCGUGCUUCGGCGCGUGCUUUGAGCUGAAAGAUGCUAGUUCUUUCAUGAUUAUGUGAUAGGUGGUGCAUGGCCGUUCUUAGUUCGUGGAGUGAUCUGUCUGCUUAAUUGCGUAUCAAUAAUAGAGACCUAGUAUACGCGUGGAUUUCGUGUGGUAGUGACCCCCUGUUUAACGACAGGCGUGUGUCGCACACGCGUACCUACGCACUGGUCUCAGAUAGCAACGAACGUGACCGUAUUCUAUUGUUGCAGUGAAAUGUACGCCUUUGUGUGUACGACCCACUGCUUAGUGUGUAGUACGUGCUUCGGCGCGAACUAACACACAUUAAACUAUAGAGACCGCUGUUUCUUUUUUUAAACCAGAGGAAGGAUACGGCAAUAACAGGUCUGUGAUGCCCUCAGAUGUUCCGGGCUGCACACGUGCUACAAUGAUCAUUGCACUGUGCAUCUAACCCAAUGUGCGUGGACGCCGCAUGCAUGUGCCUUCGGGUACACGCAUUGCUGUUGCGACCACGCCGAACCUACUUCGAAAGUAAAAUUUCUCAGUGGGU
rnacentral:rRNA from 1 species